UCUUUACUAUUAAAUAUAUUGCAAGAACUUUGCCAUUUUUAAUAUUAUUAUAUAAUAAUUAAUUGUUGCAGCUAUUGUUAAAAGAUUUUAUUAAAGUGAAAUCCGCGUGAAAUUAAAUUCAGAAUCGGAUAGUGCGAAUUAGUUUCCGCAUUUUCUCUUGUAGAGAUUUAGUCUUUUUAAAUUUAAUGAAUGUUUAUGAAAAGACGGUCCCCUACGAAAAGUGGAUGAUAAUCCUGGAUAUCAGUAACUGUACUUGUCGGAGAAACGCAGUCAACUGCCUCCGUGGCGCAAUCGGCUAGCGCGUUCGGCUGUUAACCGAAAGGUUGGUGGUUCGAGCCCACCCGGGGGCGUUAUCUUUUUGCAAUUACUGUACAUUGACGUGAUAAUCACGUUUGUUUCUUUAUGUUAACUCUAUAAAAGUCUCGAUGUGUAUAUCUGAAUACUAAUGCAAACCAAUUUUAUGAUCUAUAAAUUCGAACACAUAAAUAUUAAAUUAAAAGACACAUAGUUGAUUAUAUAUUUUAAAACAAAUGCAAUAAAAAACAAUUACUGCUAAAUUAAUUAAUUAUUAAUAUAAUUUCUAGUAGAACGAAAAAAAAAAUAGCUUAUGACCCCGACGUGAUUUGAACACGCAACCUUCUGAUCUGGAGUCAGACGCGCUACCGUUGCGCCACGGAGUCUUAUGAUGUUGUGCGCUUCUAAUACGAUGAUACUCUAGUCGCAUACUUAUAGUGAGAUAUGAAAAUGUCGAGUUGCGGACAUAUAGUAGAAUAUAUGACUUAUACUUAAAAAUCUAACUCAUACCUCAUUUAUUUCAGGUGCUGAAAAAAAAAAGACAGUUUGCAUAAAUGUAACGAAACAAUAUAGAAAAAUGUACUCAAUAUUUAAAAUUAUUAAUCAUUAUUUUUUAAACAAUUCGCAUUAUAUUUCCAUAAUAAAAUUUUCUUACCCAUAUAAAAA